rnacentral:rRNA from 1 species
AAUAUUGGACAAUGGGGGCAACCCUGAUCCAGCCAUGCCGCGUGUGUGAAGAAGGUCUUCGGAUUGUAAAGCACUUUAGGUUGGGAGGAGGGGCUUUGGUUUCAUACCCUGAAGUUUUGCCGUUACCGACAGAAUAAGCACCGCCCAACUACGUCCCCGCAGCCGCGGUAAUACGCAGGGUGCAAGCGUUAAUCGGAAUUACUGGGCGUAAAGCGUGUGUAGGCGGUUCGGAAAGAUGAGUGUGAAAUCCCCGGGCUUAACCUGGGAACUGCUUUAAUAACUGCUGAGCUAGAGUACGGUAGAGGGUAGUGGAAUUUCCUGUGUAGCGGUGAAAUGCGUAGAUAUAGGAAGGAACACCAGUGGCGAAGGCGACUACCUGGACUGAUACUGACACUGAGGUGCGAAAGCGUGGGGAGCAAAC